rnacentral:rRNA from 1 species
GACGAACGCUGGCGGCGUGCUUAACACAUGCAAGUCGAACGGAAAGGCCCUGCUUUUGUGGGGUGCUCGAGUGGCGAACGGGUGAGUAACACGUGAGUAACCUGCCCUUGACUUUGGGAUAACUUCAGGAAACUGGGGCUAAUACCGGAUAGGAGCUCCUGCUGCAUGGUGGGGGUUGGAAAGUUUCGGCGGUUGGGGAUGGACUCGCGGCUUAUCAGCUUGUUGGUGGGGUAGUGGCUGACCAAGGCUUUGACGGGUAGCCGGCCUGGGAGGGUGACCGGCGACCAUGGGACUGAGAUACGGCCCAGACUCCUACGGGAGGCAGCAGUGGGGAAUAUUGCACAGUGGGCGGAAGCCUGAUGCAGCGACGCCGCGUGCGGGAUGACGGCCUUCGGGUUGUAAACCGCUUUCGCCUGUGACGAAGCGUGAGUGACGGUAAUGGGUAAAGAAGCACCGGCUAACUACGUG